rnacentral:tRNA from 1 species
GGUAAAAUGGCUGAGUUAUAGGCGAUAAAUUGUAAAUUUAUUUAGGAAAUAUAUUUCUUUUACCA